rnacentral:rRNA from 1 species
UCGGAUUGCAGCCUGCAACUCGGCUGCAUGAAGCUGGAAUCGCUAGUAAUCGCGGAUCAGAAUGCCGCGGUGAACACGUUCCCGGGUCUUGUACACACCGCCCGUCACACCAUGGGAGUAGGUAAUGCCCGAAGUCGGUGACCUAACCGGAAGGAAGGAGCCGCCGAAGGCAGGACUUAUAACCGGGGUGAAGUCGUAACAAGGUACC